rnacentral:SRP_RNA from 1 species
GCUGGGUUGAGUCGCGUCAACUUGUCACCCGAGCGGGAGUAGGUUGGCAGGAGGUGUAAGGUCCUUUGGGUGUUUGUUUGGACUGUCAGUGACUUGCCCAGUUGGCUUUGGUGGUUAACGUGGGGUUCUCUUAGGAAUUCGAGAAUGCCAUGUUACUAGGGAAUGGGGUACCGCUGGAGGCUGGCAACAGAGCACAGAAAACCCAUCGUCACUUGAGCCAACUGGAUUACGGGUCUAUAUGACAUCCUUACAAAGUCCUUAGGAAGGUUUGCAUCCACUGUUAAU